rnacentral:rRNA from 1 species
AGAGCGAACGCUGGCGGCAGGCUUAACACAUGCAAGUCGAACGGAUCCUUCGGGAUUAGUGGCGGACGGGUGAGUAACACGUGGGAACGUGCCUUUAGGUUCGGAACAACACAGGGAAACUUGUGCUAAUACCGGAUGUGCCCUUCGGGGGAAAGAUUUAUCGCCUUUAGAGCGGCCCGCGUCUGAUUAGCUUGUUGGUGAGGUAAAGGCUCACCAAGGCUACGAUCAGUAGCUGGUCUGAGAGGAUGGCCAGCCACAUUGGGACUGAGACACGGCCCAAACUCCUACGGGAGGCAGCAGUGGGGAAUCUUGCGCAAUGGGGGAAACCCUGACGCAGCCAUGCCGCGUGGAUGAUGAAGGUCUUAGGAUUGUAAAAUCCUUUCAGGCGGGGACGAUAAUGACGGUACCCGCAGAAGAAGCCCCGGACUAACUUCGUGCCAGCAGCCGC